GAUGAACGCUGGCGGCGUGCCUAAUACAUGCAAGUCGAGCGAAUCUGAGGGAGCUUAGCGAACGAAGAUUAGCGGCGGACGGGUGAGUAACACGUGGGCAACCUGCCUGUAAGACUGGGAUAACUUCGGGAAACCGGAGCUAAUACCGGAUAAUUCCUUUCCUCUCAUGAGGGAAGGCUGAAAGAUGGUUUACGCUAUCACUUACAGAUGGGCCCGCGGCGCAUUAGCUAGUUGGUGAGGUAAUGGCUCACCAAGGCAACGAUGCGUAGCCGACCUGAGAGGGUGAUCGGCCACACUGGGACUGAGACACGGCCCAGACUCCUACGGGUGGCUG
rnacentral:rRNA from 1 species